AUUGAACGCUGGCGGCAUGCCUUACACAUGCAAGUCGAACGGUAACAGGUCUUCGGAUGCUGACGAGUGGCGAACGGGUGAGUAAUACAUCGGAACGUGCCUAGUAGUGGGGGAUAACUACUCGAAAGAGUGGCUAAUACCGCAUGAGAUCUAUGGAUGAAAGCAGGGGAUCGCAAGACCUUGUGCUACUAGAGCGGCCGAUGGCAGAUUAGGUAGUUGGUGGGAUAAAAGCUUACCAAGCCGACGAUCUGUAGCUGGUCUGAGAGGACGAUCAGCCACACUGGGACUGAGACACGGCCCAGACUCCUACGGGAGGCAGCAGUGGGGAAUUCUGGACAAUGGGCGCAAGCCUGAUCCAGCAAUGCCGCGUGCAGGAUGAAGGCCUUCGGGUUGUAAACUGCUUUUGUACGGAACGAAAAGCCCUGGGUUAAUACCCUGGGGUCAUGACGGUACCGUAAGAAUAAGCACCGGCUAACUACGUGCCAGCCGCCGCCGUAAAAC
rnacentral:rRNA from 1 species